GGAAAGAUGAAUCAAAGAAGGUAAUAAUCCUGUAGUCGAAAAUGUUGUCUCUCUUGAGUGGAUCCUGAGUACGACGGAGCACGUGAAAUUCCGUCGGAAUCUGGGAGGACCAUCUCCUAAGGCUAAAUACUCUCUAGUGACCGAUAGUGAACCAGUACCGUGAGGGAAAGGUGAAAAGCACCCCGGAAGGGGAGUGAAAUAGAACCUGAAACCGUGUGCUUACAAGUAGUCAGAGCCCGUUAAUGGGUGAUGGCGUGCCUUUUGUAGAAUGAACCGGCGAGUUACGAUUUGAUGCAAGGUUAAGCAGUAAAUGUGGAGCCGUAGCGAAAGCGAGUCUGAAUAGGGCGUUUAGUAUUUGGUCGUAGACCCGAAACCAGGUGAUCUACCCUUGGUCAGGUUGAAGUUCAGGUAACACUGAAUGGAGGACCGAACCGACUUACGUUGAAAAGUGAGCGGAUGAACUGAGGGUAGCGGAGAAAUUCCAAUCGAACCUGGAGAUAGCUGGUUCUCUCCGAAAUAGCUUUAGGGCUAGCCUCAAGUGAUGAUUAUUGGAGGUAGAGCACUGUUUGGACGAGGGGCCCCUCUCGGGUUACCGAAUUCAGACAAACUCCGAAUGCCAAUUAAUUUAACUUGGGAGUCAGAACAUGGGUGAUAAGGUCCGUGUUCGAAAGGGAAACAGCCCAGACCACCAGCUAAGGUCCCAAAAUAUAUGUUAAGUGGAAAAGGAUGUGGCGUUGCCCAGACAACUAGGAUGUUGGCUUAGAAGCAGCCAUCAUUUAAAGAGUGCGUAAUAGCUCACUAGUCGAGUGACACUGCGCCGAAAAUGUACCGGGGCUAAACAUAUUACCGAAGCUGUGGAUUGUCCUUUGGACAAUGGUAGGAGAGCGUUCUAAGGGCGUUGAAGCAUGAUCGUAAGGACAUGUGGAGCGCUUAGAAGUGAGAAUGCCGGUGUGAGUAGCGAAAGACGGGUGAGAAUCCCGUCCACCGAUUGACUAAGGUUUCCAGAGGAAGGCUCGUCCGCUCUGGGUUAGUCGGGUCCUAAGCUGAGGCCGACAGGCGUAGGCGAUGGAUAACAGGUUGAUAUUCCUGUACCACCUAUAAUCGUUUUAAUCGAUGGGGGGGACGCAGUAGGAUAGGCGAAGCGUGCGAUUGGAUUGCACGUCUAAGCAGUAAGGCUGAGUAUUAGGCAAAUCCGGUACUCGUUAAGGCUGAGCUGUGAUGGGGAGAAGACAUUGAGUCUUCGAGUCGUUGAUUUCACACUGCCGAGAAAAGCCUCUAGAUAGAAAAUAGGUGCCCGUACCGCAAACCGACACAGGUAGUCAAGAUGAGAAUUCUAAGGUGAGCGAGCGAACUCUCGUUAAGGAACUCGGCAAAAUGACCCCGUAACUUCGGGAGAAGGGGUGCUCUUUAGGGUUAACGCCCAGAAGAGCCGCAGUGAAUAGGCCCAAGCGACUGUUUAUCAAAAACACAGGUCUCUGCUAAACCGUAAGGUGAUGUAUAGGGGCUGACGCCUGCCCGGUGCUGGAAGGUUAAGAGGAGUGGUUAGCUUCUGCGAAGCUACGAAUCGAAGCCCCAGUAAACGGCGGCCGUAACUAUAACGGUCCUAAGGUAGCGAAAUUCCUUGUCGGGUAAGUUCCGACCCGCACGAAAGGCGUAACGAUUUGGGCACUGUCUCAACGAGAGACUCGGUGAAAUCAUAGUACCUGUGAAGAUGCAGGUUACCCGCGACAGGACGGAAAGACCCCGUGGAGCUUUACUGUAGCCUGAUAUUGAAAUUCGGCACAGCUUGUACAGGAUAGGUAGGAGCCUUUGAAACGUGAGCGCUAGCUUACGUGGAGGCGCUGGUGGGAUACUACCCUAGCUGUGUUGGCUUUCUAACCCGCACCACUUAUCGUGGUGGGAGACAGUGUCAGGCGGGCAGUUUGACUGGGGCGGUCGCCUCCUAAAAGGUAACGGAGGCGCUCAAAGGUUCCCUCAGAAUGGUUGGAAAUCAUUCAUAGAGUGUAAAGGCAUAAGGGAGCUUGACUGCGAGACCUACAAGUCGAGCAGGGUCGAAAGACGGACUUAGUGAUCCGGUGGUUCCGCAUGGAAGGGCCAUCGCUCAACGGAUAAAAGCUACCCCGGGGAUAACAGGCUUAUCUCCCCCAAGAGUUCACAUCGACGGGGAGGUUUGGCACCUCGAUGUCGGCUCAUCGCAUCCUGGGGCUGUAGUCGGUCCCAAGGGUUGGGCUGUUCGCCCAUUAAAGCGGUACGCGAGCUGGGUUCAGAACGUCGUGAGACAGUUCGGUCCCUAUCCGUCGUGGGCGUAGGAAAUUUGAGAGGAGCUGUCCUUAGUACGAGAGGACCGGGAUGGACAUACCUCUGGUGUACCAGUUGUCGUGCCAACGGCAUAGCUGGGUAGCUAUGUGUGGACGGGAUAAGUGCUGAAAGCAUCUAAGCAUGAAGCCCCCCUCAAGAUGAGAUUUCCCAACUUCGGUUAUAAGAUCCCUCAAAGAUGAUGAGGUUAAUAGGUUCGAGGUGGAAGCAUGGUGACAUGUGGAGCUGACGAAUACUAAUCGAUCGAAGACU
rnacentral:rRNA from 1 species